rnacentral:rRNA from 1 species
CAGUCGCCGCGGUAAUACGAGGGGUGCAAGCGUUAUUCGGAUUGAUUGGGUGUAAAGGGUGUGCAGACGGCUUAUUAAGUCACUUGUUAAAUUCUUCGGCCUAACUGAAGGUCUGCAAGUGAUACUGAUGAGCUAGAGGGUGGAAGAGAGAAGUGGAAUUCUCGGAGUAGCGGUAAAAUGCGUAGAUCUCGAGAGGAACACCAAUGGCGAAGGCAGCUUCUUGGUCCAUUCCUGACGUUCAUACACGAAAGCGUGGGGAGCAAACAGGAUUAGAUACCCCCGUAGUCCCUGUCUCUUAUAC